AAAAGUCAGUUGAUGACUGACCCUGAGAAGCUAACUUCUCAAGUAAUGGAGCAUUUCCAAUGGACUUCAAGAUUUUCUGCAUUACACAUGCUCUUGAAUGUGCACCAUUGUUUUUGUUGUUGUUGUUGUUUGUUUGUUUGUUUCAUUUGUUUUAGGUUUUUUUCUGGGAGUAUAGGGGAGGUUCUUGAAGCUUUGAUUGUAAGUCUAGCCUUUAAUGUCUGAGCCAUCUCUCUAGAUCAUAUGUAGCUUUCCUUAACCCAAGUUCAUCCAAAUGUGCAGUGACCUUCCAACCUGCACAUCCAUAUGCAGUGGUCUACAUGUCUGUGCCUGGUAUGUUCUUAAGCUACCACAAACACCUUGAGGGGUAGAAUAUUGAUCUGGGAGGACUGUAGGUCCAAAAGCACGAUGGUCUUAGAGUCAAAGUGUCUGUGAUGCUUGUGAUCUGGCCCAAAAUGAAGGUAAUGCAGAGCGAUGAACUCAUUGUCUACUACACAGUUCUAAAAUUUAGUUCUAUCUGUGUCAAAUCCUGACUCAGACUCUUGUCCUUGGCUUAUAGUGGUACUGGAAGUGGUACUGAAUACUGUCAGAGACUUGUAUUGGGACCUUGGGAUUCAUAUUUUUUAGUAGAACCAUCUCGGUCAAAUUACUUACCCUCUUGGAGCUUCAUAUUCCACAACUAUAAUAUAAUCAUGUUUACCACACAGACUUGAGGUAAUGAUUUAAUUGAACAAACAGAAAAAAAAAACACUAAGUAAGAAUUCCAUAACCUAUAAUAAUACACAAAACUUGCUGGCUAUUAUGCUUAGGAAAGCCACGGCAUCUCUCUUGAAUCUUGCAGUUUAAGGGGAUGAAGAUAUUUACUGUCAGAUGUUUGACAGAACUGAGUCAUUGUAAACAGAGGAAUUCUAGCAAUACUUUCAAAAAUAACUACAAUUGGUUUUAUUAUUCCAAUUCUUCACAUAACUAAAAGAAAGCUGGGAGAGGUUUGGCACAAGUCACGUGGCUGACGGUGUGAAGAUGCAACUGUAGCCACAAACAUGGCCUCACAUUAAAAGCUGUGUGCUCAUUUUCCCUAAUAUGAUCCUCCAUGGUCAAGCUGGGCAUUUGGGAAUGUAUUUCAACAAAAUUCAUCUUUGUUUCCUCAUUCUACAUUAACUGUCUUUUAUAUAUCUCAUGUGAUUAGGCUUCAAGGUUGCAAAUUAGAUAGCAGUCCCUGCAAAGGUUUGUGAAGUAGCACAUUUCUGCCUCUAGAGAACUCAUUUGAAGAACUCAUUUCUAGCAAGAAAGCACAGCUAACUAUUCAUGUACUCAUGAUUGAAAACUGGUCCUUAUCCUUCAGGGAAGGUCAUUUUCUUUGAUAGUGGUAAGCUGUGUUUUCUAGUGAGUCUUUGUUACCUUCCAUGGUUCCUACGAUAUAAAAGAAAUGGUGGUCAUGGGUCAGCCACAAGAACAGUAGCAGUGGAGUGAAGGCAACUAGAGUCUAGAAGCCCUGUAUGCCGCAAAGGGCAGAGCCAGAGAAGUGAACCAAGUCCUUUGGAGGAGCCCAGAAGAUGACUAGUGCCAAGAGUCAGGCUUCUCCAUGCCAGGUUUGCUGCAAAGAUAUUGAGUCUACUACCAUAACCCCAGCAGCCUGGAUGGGCAAUUUAAUAAAAGGCAAGAUCUAAAUUCUAAUAGGAUUGCUUUCCCUCUCUACUUCACUGAUCCAUCUAUCCCUGAGAAAACAUUGGGCACUGAAGACACUACACUUGAAGCUGUUUUCUUCUUGAUAAAAAUGGCCUUUGGGCAAUGAACUGUCCAUACCUCCUCAACCACUGACAAAACUGAUAAACAGGAACAAAAACCAGACUGCCAAACCUUGCCAAAACAGGGUCUGUUUGGAAUGUUUACAUAAAUAAGGCAUUCCAGCUCUAGGGAAGUAAAUAAUUUCAUUGCACAUGAAAUGGCAUGGUUGUACCAGUACUCUCUUCAUGGGAAACACAGCUCAAC